rnacentral:lncRNA from 1 species
GUACAUGCCUUCAUGGACACUGGAAGUGAGGUCAUUUGGGUCAAAUGCUCACAAAGCUCCCCUGUCUUCAACCCUGCAAAAUCCUCCUCUUAUGGUCACCAUCCGUGUGAUUCCCUUGCCUGUGAGGUUUUAGGGGUAGGCAGGAGAACCUGCGCAGAGUUUCUUGACCCUUGUUACUAUAGGGUAAGAUAUGGAGAUGGUUCCACAACGGAGGGAACUCUGUCCCAUGACAAGUUUGCAUUUGAAGACCCUGAGAGGAACCUUGUGGAUGUUGGUCACUUGGAUUUUGGUUGUUCUGACUUCUCUUCAUGGCAUUUUCGUGGGAACCAAUCAGGGGCUCUUGGCCUGAGCCGGCAACCCCUGUCCUUAAUUUCUCAACUAGGCAUAAAAAAGUUCUCAUACUGCAUGGUGCUCCCUGACAAUGAGGGAUCAGGAAGCAGGAUGUAUUUUGGCUCAGAGGCAGUGAUCUCUGGUGGGCAAACUCCACUUCUGAAGGGAGUGGAUUGGUAUUACUAUGUCACUCUUAUUGGAAUUAGCAUUGGUGACCAAAAUGUACCUCUCCCUGAUGGGAUUUUUAACAUGACAAGUGAUGGGAAAGGAGGGUUUAUUAUUGAUUCAGGCACAACUUACACAUUCCUUAGAUCAGAAGCAUAUGAUGCAUUGAUCGAGGCACUCGGGGAAGCCAUAGAUUUGCCUCAAAGGAGAGGACCAAGCCAAUGGUAUGAGUUGUGUUUUGAGGGAAGUUUUGAGGACUUGGAUUCUGCAGCACCAGAUUUGAAAUUCAUUUUUGAUGGUGCAGAAGUCAUUCUAAUGAAACAAACUACUUACAUUGAAGCAGAGAAGGGGCUUUGGUGCCUUGCCAUGGUGAGGUCCAAUGAAGAGUUGUCCAUACUGGGAAAUAUGCAACAACAGAACUAUUUUGUUGGUUAUGACCUUGAACAAGAAGUGGUUUCUUUUGCUCCAGUUGACUGUGCUACCUUCUAGUAGGUAGUGGCCUAACCAACUUCAAUAAUAUUUCUGAUCUUUCCAGACUUUUAAUCAGAAAAACAUGCUAGCAAGUCUUUUUAUCAACCUUUUUUUUUGUUGGAACAAUAGAAAAUACGAAUUUAAAGAUAAUAAAAAUUCUUAAUAGAAUUGUAAUAAUCAAAUACAAUAACAAAUUUAUAUGAAAUUAAUGUAAAUUAACAAACACAAUAGAAAUAUUGACAACUUUAGUGAUUGAGGCUUGCAAGAAUUGCAAUGUCCAAAGACAGAUUUCGCCCUUGCCCUUGUGCUUGGUAGUUCUAUAGGCGUCCAUCUCCCAGGAUUCAACAAUCGAUAAUCCUAGACUAUGACAAACCAAUUAUAUAUUUAUACUCUUAAGACUAGACUCAGAAUUGAUCAAAAGAGUAAAACUAGAGCACUGGGGAAUACUCUAAAUUUUCACGGGUAAGAACUAGUUGGAUAGCCAUACAACACGGGUUUUUUUAUAAUUAACCCAAGUGACCUCUGGAAUAAUAACAGUGGCUGUUCACUAAAUGACGCCACUUAUGCAAAGGAAAGAUGCAACUGCACUUAAUUCAAUUGCAUCCGAUGCAACCCUUCAUACCUAAACAAAAUAAUUAUUUUCAUUCACACAUUAAAAAUUAAAAAUUAAAAAAUCUAAUAAAUAUUAUAAUAUUAUUUUCCAACACCUUUUAUUUCACCCUUGAGAAAACAGAAGCCGCAAGAUCGAAGACCGAUUUGUCCUAUAUAUAUAUAUAUAUAUACAUCCGCCCAGCGCUUAUGCGCCACGUGUCAAAAAGUAAAGCCAUAAGGCUACACGAUUUUAAAAAAAAAAUUAGAAAAAAGGAGUAUAGCAGCAUGGAGCAUUUAAAAAAAAUUAUAUUAUCUUUAUUCAACAAUAUGUGAGAAUUAUAUGUAUAAUACGUGAAUUUUGUGUGUCUUAUUGAAAUUUUUAUAAAAAAAAUAUGGGUAUUAAACAUGAGAAAUACGUGCAUAUGUGUAUAAUAUACAUUAUUAAGCAUGAAAGUACUAUAAUCUUUUUACAGGUAAUAACUCUGGAAAAGUAAAAAAUCAAAAGGGGAAAUAGAGACUCGAGUAAUGGCCUAAUAGUAAUGCAUAGAGCUCUUGGGCUAUGGAGAAAUUUAAUUAAGAUACCCAAACAAUUUCACGAAAGACUUAAUAAAUAUAAAUUAAUUAUUUUGUAGACUUUUUCUUUAAUAUUUUUAUAUUAAAUAAAAAUAAAAAUAUAAUUACUAAUUAAAGUAAUUCAAAAAGCUAAGAUAUUACUUAAUUACAUAUAUUAAAUUAAAGAAGUAGGCCAAAAAAAGGAGUAAAAAAAUUAAUUAUAUAUUUUUUAAAUUAAAAAAAAAAACCUCUCUCGACGAAAAUUCGUUGGCACAGGUCUAUGCUGGUGAAAUUUCGAGGAUUAAAUAUUCUUUUUAAAAAGUAUAGCUGGGAUGCUAUACUAUAUAUAUAUAUAUAUAUAUAUAUAUAUAUAUAUAUAAAGACACUCCCACUGGCUAGGUGCCACGUGUUUAAACAGUAAAGCAGGCAGGCAUACUAUUUUUAAAAAAAAUUAGGAAAAACGAGUAUAGCCGCACAGCUAUACUAUUUCGGAUAAAAUUCAAAAAAAAUCUAGUAGAGCCGUUAUACAUAGACCCGCCCAGCGCCUAUGUGCUAUACUAUUUUUAAAACAAAAUUAAAAAAAGAGUAUAGCCACACGGCGAGACUACUUUUUAAAGAAAAUUAGGGGAAAACUAAGUAUAGCCGUGCGGCUAUACCAUUUAAAAAAUAUAUAUUAUUUUUAUUCAAUAAUAUGUGAGAAUUAUGUGUAUAAUACGUGAAUUUUGUGUGUCUUAUUGAAAUUUUUGUAAAAAAUAUGUGGAUUAAACAUGAGAAAUACAUGUGUACAUGUAUAAUACAUUAUUAAACGUGAAAGUGCUAAAAUCUUUCUACGGGUAAUAACUCUGAAAAAUUAAAAAAAUCAAAAGGGGUAAAUAGAGACUCGAGUAAUGGUCUAAUAGUAAUGCAUAGGGCUCUUGGGCUAUGGAGAAAUUUAAUUAAGACACCCAAACUAUUUCACAAAAGACUUAAUAAAUAGAAAUUAAUUAUUUUAUGGACUUUUUCUUUAAUUUUUUAUAUUAAAUAAAAAUUAAAAUAUAAUUACUAAUUAAAGUAAUUCAAAAAGCUAAGAUAUUACUUAAUUAGAUAUAUUAAAUUCAAGAAGAAGGUCAAAAAACAAAAGUAAAGAAACUAAUUUUAUAUUUUUAAAAUUUAAAAAAACCCCUCUUGAUGAACGAUUGUUGGCAUAGGUCUAUGCCGGCGAAAUUUCCCAGAUUAAAUAUUCUUUUUAAAAAGUAUAGCCGUGCCUCUAUACUAUAUAUAUAUAUAUAUAUAUAUAUAUAUAUAAAAGAUGCACCCGACAUCUAGGUGCCACGUGUCAAAACAGUAUACAGUUCCCUUUUAUUGAGGGAUCCCUCAAAUAAUUUUAUUUGAGGGAUGCUCUUUAGGGUACUCUACAAUUUUUUUUUCAAAUGAUCCAAACCAUCUAUUUUUUAGGUCUUCAUUCAUAGAUCAUCUUUACAAAAAAUUAGACAAAUCAGAAACCAUUUCGACAUCCAAUUGUGUCUUACAAAAUCAAUGAACACAGUGCUUCCAGAAAGUACUAAAUUUUCAAUAACUCAAAUAAAUGAUCAAAUAUUAUCGGAUUCAAGUAAUUUUUUGUAGAAAUGAUCUUUGAAUGAGUAUCUAUAAAAUAGACGGUUUGGAUUAGUGAAAUACAAUCUAGAGAGGGGCCUACAAGGAGUGUCCUUCAAAUAAGCUUAUUUGAGGGAUCCCUCAGUGUAAGCUCUCUGUAUAUAUAUAUAUAUAUAUAUAUAUAUGUGUGUGUGUGUGUGUAUGUGUGUGUGUGUAUACCCGCCUAGCGCUUAUGCACCACCUGUCAAACGAGUAUAGCCAUGCGGCGAUACAAUUUUUUAAACAAAAUUCAAAAAAAGAGUAUAGCCGCACGACUAUACUACUUUUUAAAGAAAAUUAGGGAAAAGCUGAGUAUAGCCGUGCGGCUAUACCAUUUAAUAUAUAUAUAUAUAUAUUAUUAUUUAUUCAAUAAUAUAAUACUUGAAUUUUGAGUACUGCUCGUGCAGCUGGAUCACGAUGGUUUGGUGGGGGAGCAGUCCUCCUAAUUUGAUCUUCAUCCCUUGACUGGUGCAGAAGACUCGAACUUCGGGGAGAAAUGUCAACAACUCUUUGUUUCUCGGCAAGCGAAUCAGUUCGGGAACAUACCUCUUUACCGGGCAGAUUGCAGGUCUUGAGCUUGUCAGUUGGAGACUUGAGUGGAAUGUCCCGAACAUUCAGCAUGCCGCCAAUCUUUUUACUAUCAGUGCCGACGAGGUGCUUGACACUAGCAGAUGACAAAGGAGCAGCUCCCGCUUGAGUCUUCUUAGCUGACGAGACUUCUUUCGAAAUAGACUUGAUCAUAGCAAAAGGAAGUCUUGGCUUCUUUCUCAACGGAGACACAUCCAUUACCCUCGAGGUUCUAGCUUCAAUUUUUGGAGGACUUGGCAUCAGCCUUUCUCUUUUCAAGGAGUUUGGUUGAGGACUCCUCCAUUCGGCAGAUUGUCCGAGUCUAGGCCAUACUCCUUCCAUCUGUCAAUAUCCUUGGGAGGGGUAGACCACCAGCUUCUUUCCGAUACUCACUUAACAGCCAACGCCAUUUGCGAAACCUCACAGGGAUGUUUAGGGCCCAACAGACGUUAGCCAUGUUCGGCUCAAGAUCCAGCUUCUUGCUGAUGUCAUUCUCUGCAAGUAAAAGACAUAAGUCAGUCAGUCAUAUAUCAAAGAAAUUCAGACAAAGUUGAAGCAUAUCAAUAAAGUAUGACGUACCAUCGUAGUAAGUGAAGGGAACAAGUGGACCUUCGUUGACCUCGCCUUCCCAUUGUCUUCUAACACAUCGACGUGCCAUACAUGAUCUCCUUGGUUGAGAUUGCCAAACAACUUGGUAUUGCACACACGGACCUGAGCAUAGUUCUCGUAACGCCUCACUUCGAAGAAGUAAAAGAACUCCUGCAUCGUCAAAUCCAGCUUGAAGAAAUGGCUCAGAUUCUUAAAACACAUGAUUGCCUGGUAGAUUGGCUUGGGGCACACUCCAUGCGUAGAACACUUCCCUGAAGAACUUUGAUAAUAGGAAUGUGAAGCAUAAAGAGAAGUAGAAUGGAUAGAAUGUGAUAACUAUGGCAUUCAGAUAAUUCGGAUCCACACAAUGCACAUCGUUAGUCGAAGCCGCCGCUAGCCUGACAUACACGUUAUCAGGUAUGGCAUAAGCAUAGGUGGCGCACCACUUUUGGAAGUGAGCCUUGGUGGUGACACUAUGCAGAUCAACCAUGAAUCAUUUCUUGUGCACCUUGGAACCACCCUACAAGUACAAAGGAACUUAUGAACUCAAUGAUCAGCUACCCUCAUUGGAAGACUUAAUUGGUGAAGAGGUGCAAAAAGGGAAUAAAAUUGCAAGUAGAUAGCAUGUCAAAACCCUAAGUUGUGACAAAAAAAGAAAGAAAAAGGAACAGCAACUCGGCCCAAGCCACACCAAACCGCUUUUACGGCCCAGAUAGCGCCAAGCCCGCAGCUCGUCAGCAUCCCCAUGACUCCAACAUGCGCCAUCAUUACACCGCAUCAGUCAAAUGGGCCUGGCCCAUGACAUGAAAAAAAAAAAAGAAAAAAAAAGUGGUGGCAGCCGUCGCCAGCAACCAAUGCCGCCGUCGCAACUGGUCGUGCUAGCCACUCCAUGCGGUCACGACGACAACUAGCUAAGCCCACUCAGCUAGUCCUGGCAGCAAAAAAAAGAAAAAAAGAAAGAAAGGGAAAUUCAUGGGAGCCGGCAGCAGCGUCGAUCAUGAUGACAACCAGUCGAGCCCACCCAGCUGGUCUGCGAAAAGUGGACAAUAGCGUGCUACGACAGAGUCGAUCCUGGGAUGUGACAUUAAGUCAAAGAAGAAUUACAAGCCUAUUCCCAUUGCGAGUCCAACUUGAAGAAGAAGUCAAAAGCCUACUCCUAUUAGAAGCCCAACUCAAGAAAGAAAGUCUAGAUGUAGUUGGAGAGCCCGAUAAAUAUUUCUCAUUGCCUCCAUGCCUCACAAGCGCAAUGCAAAAGCUUGGGGGGGGGGGGCAUUUGUGGGAACAUAUAUUUCAUUGGCCAAUAAGAAGACGACACGUGGAAAGGGAAUAUUCCUUAGGUCAAACUAAUUACCAUAAUUAAAGUCUAUUUAAUUACGGAAAUUAUCUUUGAUUUAAGAUAGGAAUAUCUCCCUAAAUCAAGGAACCAAUCUCCACCAAAUCUCUUGAAAUAAUUUCUAUCAUCUUUUUGGGGAAAAAUGUUAGGAUUAUUCUCCCAAAUUCCUAGCACACAAGGAGACUAUAAAGACAUAGCUACUCAAGACAUUUGAGGUAAUUCUUUUUAAUUGCUUUCUCACCUAAAAAAACCCUCUCUCUCUCUCUCUUGCCGUCGCCCCCUCCCCACUCUCUCUCUCUCACAAGGCUAAGCAUCACCACACACGGCUAAGGCCAUCCAGCUCUCCCAAUGAGAGAAAACUCCAUUCAUUUUAGCUAUUGUCGUAUCUUUAUCAAGAUCCAAUUGAACUAAAUUAGACAUUAGAGGGCCUUUGGCCAACACUCCGCGGGUGUAUUCUAUUUACUCAUAUUUAUUUUGCAGGGAUCGAGAAAGAGAGAUAAGGAAGAUCGAAGGUUGAGGAAUCACAUCCUUGAUGCAAGAGUAAAGGUAUCACAUCCUUUUGAUGCAAGAGUAAAGGUAUCACAUCCUUGAUGCCUUUCUUGACCUACUUUUUUAUAUAAUAAAAAACUCAUUCACACUUUAUAUUAGUCCACAAACUUACAUGGUAUACAUUAAUAACUAAAUCUACUCCUAAUGCUGCCUUAUUAAUAGACAACAAUUGCAUCAAAAUGCAUAGAUUACCUUCCUAAAAAAGCAUUAGUUGGCUAGGUAUUCUGAUGCAGUAUUCUCAUAUAUUAAAUAGUGGGCAUAUGACUGCCCUUUCUCUCUUUUCCACCAUUUUCUUCUUCUUGAACACCAUCUUUACUCUUCAAUCUAUACACUCUAUCAGCAGCAGUACUGCUGGUGAUGGCUUUUCGGUUCGUCUGAUCCACCAUGACUCACCUCUAUCCCCAUCAUACAAUCAUUCCAUGACUGCCUAUGAUCGUAUACAAGCUGCUGCUUAUCGUUCUGUCUUGCGUCUUAACCACGUCCACUCACUCACCACCACCUUUUCAUCCUCAGAACAAGAUAUCUCUUCUAGAAUAGUCCCUGAAAAUGGUGAGUACAUAGUGACUUUCUCUGUGGGCACUCCCCCUACCCAAGUACAUGCCUUCAUGGACAUUGGAAGUGAGGUCAUUUGGGUCAAAUGCUCCCCUGUCUUCAACCCUGCAAAAUCCUCCUCUUAUGGUCACCAUCCGUGUGAUUCCCUUGCCUGUGAGGUUUUAGGGGUAGGCAGGAGAACCUGCGCAGAGUUUCUUGACCCUUGCUACUAUAGGGUAAGAUAUGGAGAUGGUUCCACAACGGAGGGAACUCUGUCCCAUGACAAGUUUGCAUUUGAAGACCCUGAGAGGAACCUUGUGGAUGUUGGUCACUUGGAUUUUGGUUGUUCUGACUACUCUUCAUGGCAUUUUGUUGGGAAUGAAUCAGGUGCUCUCGGCUUGAGCCGACAGCCCCUGUCCUUAAUUUCUCAACUAGACAUAAAAAAGUUCUCAUACUGCAUGGUG